CUUCCUACGGGGGGCAGCAGUGGGGAAUAUUGGGCAAUGGGCGCAAGCCUGAACCAGCAACGCCGCGUGAAGGAAGAAGGCUUUCGGGUUGUAAACUUCUUUUCUCAGGGACGAAGAGAGUGACGGUACCUGAGGAAUAAGCCACGGCUAACUACGUGCCAGCAGCCGCGGUAAUACGUAGGUGGUAAGCGUUAUCCGGAUUUACUGGGUGUAAAGGGCGUGUAGGCGGGACUGCAAGUCAGAUGUGAAAACCACGGGCUCAACCUGUGGCCUGCAUUUGAAAUUGUAGUUCUUGUGUACUGGAG
rnacentral:rRNA from 1 species